CCUCCUUUAUCUUGUGCCUGUGGGCGUGCUCUGGGUCCUUCUUGGCCUCAUGCUUCUCAUGCUGCAGUUUUGCACAUCAAUAAUUAGGAGUCGUGUGAAUGAAACAAAAUGAGAUAAGGUAAAGGGAAAAAAAAGAGAAAAAGAAAAAUGGAGUUCUCUACUACGUAUAUUUUUUUUAUACAUGCUCUGAGUAUGGUAUAAGUUCUAACAAAAAAAUUAAUUUAUUAACUUUGAGCAGAAGUUUUUGAUCAUACAACUCAGUUUUUUUAAGUCAAUUGUGGGGAAAUCUCAUUCCUCUAGUUGAUCGGCGAAGGAAAUUUAUUGAAUUCAAACUAUGGCUCAUUUACAAGGAUUGUCCAUUCUUGCAUGGCAUCCCAUCAUCAUGUCCAGUUGAAAUAUGUGAGUCUAAUCGAGUUCCUUCGCAUCCAGUGCUUGUGAUCAACCUGAUGGUUCAAGUCAAUAAGGUGUAGGCGCGAAUUUUAUCCAUACACAAAAUGGGAAAAA